CGGGGUAGAGUAACGCGUGAGGAACCUGCCUCAAAGAGGGGGACAACAGUUGGAAACGACUGCUAAUACCGCAUAAGCCCACGGCUCGGCAUCGAGCAGAGGGAAAAGGAGUGAUCCGCUUUGAGAUGGCCUCGCGUCCGAUUAGCUGGUCGGUGAGGUAACGGCCCACCAAGGCGACGAUCGGUAGCCGGACUGAGAGGUUGAACGGCCACAUUGGGACUGAGACACGGCCCAG
rnacentral:rRNA from 1 species